rnacentral:lncRNA from 1 species
UGUUUGUUCAGUGUUAUCAAGAAAACAUGCAAAGAUCUUCUGCACUUUCUUGUUCUUCAAACACUAUCUCUGCUCUCUUCUCUACUCAAAAACUAAUAACACUUCCCUUUCCAAAUCCAAGAAUUGUUUUUUUGGAGAAUCCAUCAACCUUCAAGAUUUUCCAUUUUCAACAAAACAACACAACCCCUUUGCUUCACUGCACUGGUAAUUCUUGUUUCUUGUUUAAAGUUUCAAUCUUUAUUGAUUUUUUGAGUUUCCCCUAAUGGCUUCUUUGUUUUCUCUACUUUUUUUCUGGACUGGGUUUCUGUUUAUUUCAGUAGUAUCAGCAAUUACUCACUUUUGAACAUAAAAUCUAUACUGUUUCGACAAAAUUGUGAAAAAUUAUAGUAUUUAGUUAUCAAGAUGAUGUUGUACUUUGAUUUUAUGGAUUUUAUGUUCCUUUGAAUUAUUAUUAGUAUUACCCAAGGGUGUCACCUAGUGUUAAUGAAGUGGAUUGAGCAACAUGAGAGUUUCAAAUUCCCAGAAUCACGAGGUUUUAGGUUCAAAUUCCAACGUAGAUAAAAAUACUAGGUGACUUCUUUCCAUCUAGCCCAGCAUUGAUGGACAGAGUUGCCUAUUGCUUAUUGCUGGUGGGUGGUGGCAUGUAUCCUUUGAGGUGUCUGAGAGCUGGCCUCGACACCAGGGUUAUCAAAAAAGAAAAUUAUCAUUAGUAUUGUUUUCUGAUGAAGUGGUGUUCAGCCAGCUUAGCAAGAUCAUUUUGGUUUGGUUUAGGGAUUGUAUGUCAAUGAAGAAAUGGCUGUGAGACUCGGUGAAUCCAAGUUUGAGAGUACCCCUCUAAUUUGUUCUAAAAGCAAAUUAUUGAGUACUGGAAUGAAAUGUGUCCAUAUACGGGGUGAAUGGAUGUUGAGGAUUAAUAGGGUUGACCUCAAUUAGUUUGGGUUUAACACGUAGUAGUAGUUGUUGUUGGAUUCUUUGCUGAAUACAUGCUGCUUAAUGUGAAUUUUUUGGUACACAGUAUGGCAUUUGAGACUUAAAAAAUUGAACAUGUACUUCUAAGUUUAGCUUAUUUCUACAUUUCUCGUCUCCUUUUCUUUCCUUUUAGUAAGUUUGUUCUGGGUUGAAACAGUAGCAUCUUCAGAUAAUUAAAUUGAAGUUAUACGUAGUUUAAUUAGUCAUUAUUUCAUGAGCUGUUGAAUUAACUUAAUGCUAGUGACACAUUAUAAGAUUCAUGUAAGAUACAUUUGGCUGAUAUCAAUUGAUUUCUUGGGUCAGUUUUUUUUUCAGUUGGCUAUUUAUGUAUUGACUAAGGAGGUAAAGUGUCAUUAUGCGGCUUUGCCCCGGGGGACACACUUCUGGAUUCAUGUGGUGCUUAAUCUUGUAUUUGCACUUUAGCAGUUACUUUAGAAUCCAUACCAAGAUCAAAAGUGAGAGCAUCAUAACCAAAUGCAAAAAGAUGCAAAAGUACAAUAGGAGAUGUAUAUUUGUUCUUUUGGUAGGCUGAGUAUAGAUGAAUGGUAACUCAAGACACAUUCACAUUUCUAGCCUAUCCCAGACAAGGUACAAUGUCCACGAUCCAUCACAGGACACUAGGUUUAAUACUUUCUGGAAUUGAGCAAAACCUUGAAUCCUGUGUUGUUAUCUACUGUUCUAUGAAAUUUUGCUUGGCCUAUUUCUUUCGAUGAUUAACCAUCUGCAACAAUCUUUUGCAUUUUUGUGCUAUCGUGAGUAUUACAUGUUGUGAUUGUUGUAAUUCUACAUCCUUAACCUUAAGCAACGUGAGGCAAUCUUUGAAUUUGUUACAUACUCCAAUCAAAAGAUCAUUGAGUCAAGUCAAGCACAUAACAUAGAAAAGUUGUAUAUGGUGUUCAGUUUCCUGGAAGGAUAUCAGCUCAUCAUAAUAUAUGCUGUCUUCUUAGAUUUUGUUGCUCAUCAUGGUAUACCAAUUCAUGUGAAUUUUUUUUGAGCAUUGGUAAAUAACAAACCAAUUCAUGUGAAUUGGUUAGCAUUUGCAGAGUGAAGUGCUUGGACUGUCAAGCAUCUAAAUUAAGCUAGAGUAUCACAGUAGUCCUCAUUAAGGAGAACUUUUUUUUUAAUGUUUCUACAAAAUCACUCAGUUCUCAAGUUAAGCACUUUUAUGUUUGUUGUAUUUCAGCUACGGAGGAGAUCUUGGAGGCUAAUGAGACAGAGGGAUUAUUUGUUCAAACUGGGUACAUAUAUAGUGUUCAUGGGCUUCAAGGAGAGGUUCGGGUAAAAGCUACGACUGAUUUCCCUGAAUUGCGAUUUUCCAAGGUAGAAAGUGUCAGAAACCUAAUAGUGGGACCAAAUUCUCAUUUUUGGCAUGCUUGAGAACAUCCUUUUCAUGAAUUCACUCUUAAUUCAGCCAGGAAGGCGAUGGUUGAGGCAGCAAGUUUCAGGGAGAGAUAUGGUUCAAGAAAUCGAACUAAUUGAGGGAAGAGGUCAUCCAGGACAGAAGAGUUGGAUACUUAAAUUCCAUGAGAUCGACACAAUAGAGCAGGUGAUCUCAGUGUCAUUGGGUACCACGACCCACACUAUUUUAUUUUUCCUCAUAUAUUAUGAAAUGCAGUAAAUAUGUCUUUUGAUUAUCAUGGCCUUAUCUUUCCUAUGAUGAAUUUAUUCUGAGUCAUGCAUGUUACAAUCGCAUUAUCUCAGUAUGGCAAAAUGGCAGUGUUAUUUAAAAGAGUUAAAGAAUUUUAUAUGACGUUAUUAUCAACUCGAAAAUAUUUGGCUAUCUGUUGUAAAUAAAGGCAAAUUCACUUGGCCUAUUAAAUAUGGAGGCUUUAGCCCUUUACUGCAACUGUCAUGCUAGCUUUAUGUAUUUCCUGAGGCAUAUCUUUUAAAUGGACUUAACCUUUAUCCUAGGGCAUGAAAGUUUGAUAUAUCGUGUUUUCUCGAUUUUCCUCAGGCACAAAAACUUGUGGGUUCGGCCUUACUGGUGAAGGAUGAAGAUAGACCCGUCCUGGAGGAAAGUGAAUUUUACACCGCUGACCUUGUUGGGAUGAGAGUUUUUCUAAAGGUUUGCGUUCCACGGCUUCUUAGUUUCAUAAGAAGUACAGCCUACAGGUUUCUUUAGUUUAGUUUAGUUUCUAUUGGAGCUGAGUGGCACUAAAAGAAAUCUUCUAAUAUUUUUGUACUCCAGAAAACUAGAGAACUGGUAGGAACUGUUAUUAAUGUUUUUAACAGUGGAGCUAGUGAUCUCCUACAUGUUGAGCUUCUACCAGAUCGAAAUGCAAAACCACGGUUGGAAGGAGGUGCAUCUGGUCCUCUUGUAUGGGUCCCCUUCGUCGAAGCAAUUGUUCCGAAUGUUGAUUUGAGUAAAAGGGAAAUGCUGAUUACACCUCCAAAGGGUCUUUUAGAGUUAAACGUCCGUGCGGAUGACAGGUCCAAGAAAGAGAGGCGACAACUUGUGAGUUGCUUUUCUUAUUUCUGCCAUUUUGUCAGAAUUUAUCAUAUAGGUCACACACACGCUGUUGCCGAGUGCCGUCUGUGUGGUUUCAGAAGCCACAAUAUGUUUUAAAUGAAAUUCUGUUUAUCUUUUCUAGAGAAGUGACUUUGUGACACCGUGUGAGUUGCUUUUUUUCUUCUUUUUCAGAAUCAGAGUAUUGUCUCAAUUAUUUUAGAAAUCACAUUGUCAUUUUCAAAGAAUUAUAGUCAGUUUUUCUUAAGUACUCUGAUGGUUUUUUCCAUAUCCAUUGUUGGUUGCAAUGUAGUGCAGUUACUAUUACUAAUAGAUUUCAUAAUUUUCUUAUGAUGAUGAAGUAAUUCUUCAUGUCUGAGUUCAUACUUAACUGCUCCAGAUGAGUGCUGGUAAUUAAGUAAUGCCUCUAAAGUUGCUUUUCUCUCCAGUGCUUCUCUAUGAUUGUCAUAGGUACUUCUUCUAUAGCAUUGAAGAUCUAGCAUGUUUGGCCUACUCAUUUUCUGCUUUUUAGGAAUGGAAAGAGAGAAAAAAGUUUCAGAAACGCCUUAUAGCAGCCAAGAAAAUACUGCAUGAAAUGGAACAAGAUCAUAUAUUUCACGGUUUCAGAUAUGGAGAGAAAAACCAAAGGAGCUUCCUUGCAAAUCAGAUUGUUGAUGUAAACUCCGUGUUGCUUAAGCAUGCAUUGCAGAGCAAAAAGAUUCCAUAUAAGAGGUGCAGCUAUAAGUUUAUUUCCUGUCUUUUGUCAUUAUAUACCUUUUUUUAAUCUGCCAAGUGUAUGUCAUACAUGCUUUAAGUAGGCUAACCGUUAGUUUACAUGACAUCACAAAUUCUAAAUUUUAAGUGUAGAAGGCAUUGGAAAAAUUUAGUAUUUAGUUUACAUGACAUCACAAAUUCUAAAUUUUAAGUGUAGAAGGCAUUGGAAAAAAUUAGUAUUCUUUUUGUGACCCUACCUUUUUCACAGUUUGUGAUAACCGGCAUAAAACUUGCAAUGAAUGUUUCGUUAUUUAGUUUGAUAGAUCUUUUCAGAAAUGUAAUUAGCAGUGUUUUAUAGUUUUACAAGUCAUGUUACAGACUAUAUCCGGCAAAGAAGAAUAGGUGAUAAUUGAUGGCGGAUGCAACUUGAUCAUCUUAGAGGGCGUUGUCAUUGAAAGUUACAGCAUGUUUAUGCUGAUGCCACAGAGUACUGUGUCCACAUAUUACUUGACUUUAAUGGUUUUCUAGUCAAUUCGUCGGGUGCAGGCAUUGUAUUACUUCUCUUUUGUUACCGCUAGAGUAACUAAGAGAUACUUGUUUUGAAAUUGUCUAAAAAAUAAAAUAAGACAAAUAAAUUGAAAUACAAUGUACUCCCUGCGUUUCAUAAUAAAUGAAUUGUUGAAUUUUGACACACAUAUUAAGGGAAAAAUAUUAAAGAUAUAAAUUUAACAUUACUUUUCAUUUUUACCCCCAAAAUAAGAAAAAAUUAACCUUGUAAUAUCUUUUCAAAAGUUAACUAGUUGGCAAAUCAUAAGUCCAAAUUUGAAAAAAAUUCAAUAAUUCACUUAUUUUGAAACAUCAAUAAAUACUUCAACAAUUCACUUAUCAGAGUAAUAUAUAAUAGUUAUUUAAAAAAGGACCUGCCAUUUUCCUGUUUUAUCAAUUAUAUAUAAUUAAUAAUAAUAAUAAUUAAAAAAAAUCAUUAACAACAUGUACCCUGUGCAUAAAAUGUUGUACUAAAGAUUAUACUCCUAUCUUGCUACAUCAUCUUUUUUCCCCUCUGCUUCUUUUCAUAUUUGUAACACUGUUUUCUUUGUUUGUUCAGUGUUAUCAAGAAAACAUGCAAAGAUCUUCUGCACUUUCUUGUUCUUCAAACACUAUCUCUGCUCUCUUCUCUACUCAAAAACUAAUAACACUUCCCUUUCCAAAUCCAAGAAUUGUUUUUUUGGAGAAUCCAUCAACCUUCAAGAUUUUCCAUUUUCAACAAAACAACACAACCCCUUUGCUUCACUGCACUGGUAAUUCUUGUUUCUUGUUUAAAGUUUCAAUCUUUAUUGAUUUUUUGAGUUUCCCCUAAUGGCUUCUUUGUUUUCUC